rnacentral:rRNA from 1 species
GACGUAGGGCGCGAGCGUUGUCCGGAUUUAUUGGGCGUAAAGAGCUCGUAGGCGGUCUGUCGCGUCGGAUGUGAAAGCCCGGGCUUAACCCCGGGUCUGCAUUCGAUACGGGCAGACUAGAGUGUGGUAGGGGAGAUCGGAAUUCCUGGUGUAGCGGUGAAAUGCGCAGAUAUCAGGAGGAACACCGGUGGCGAAGGCGGAUCUCUGGGCCAUUACUGACGCUGAGGAGCGAAAGCGUGGGGAGCGAACAGG